CAUGCAAGUCGAGCGGUAGAGAGAAGCUUGCUUCUCUUGAGAGCGGCGGACGGGUGAGUAAUGCCUAGGAAUCUGCCUGGUAGUGGGGGAUAACGUUCGGAAACGGACGCUAAUACCGCAUACGUCCUACGGGAGAAAGCAGGGGACCUUCGGGCCUUGCGCUAUCAGAUGAGCCUAGGUCGGAUUAGCUAGUUGGUGAGGUAAUGGCUCACCAAGGCUACGAUCCGUAACUGGUCUGAGAGGAUGAUCAGUCACACUGGAACUGAGACACGGUCCAGACUCCUACGGGAGGCAGCAGUGGGGAAUAUUGGACAAUGGGCGAAAGCCUGAUCCAGCCAUGCCGCGUGUGUGAAGAAGGUCUUCGGAUUGUAAAGCACUUUAAGUUGGGAGGAAGGGCAGUUACCUAAUACGUGAUUGUUUUGACGUUACCGACAGAAUAAGCACCGGCUAACUCUGUGCCAGCAGCCGCGGUAAUACAGAGGGUGCAAGCGUUAAUCGGAAUUACUGGGCGUAAAGCGCGCGUAGGUGGUUUGUUAAGUUGGAUGUGAAAUCCCCGGGCUCAACCUGGGAACUGCAUUCAAAACUGACUGACUAGAGUAUGGUAGAGGGUGGUGGAAUUUCCUGUGUAGCGGUGAAAUGCGUAGAUAUAGGAAGGAACACCAGUGGCGAAAGGCGACCACCUGGACUAAUACUGACACUGAGGUGCGAAAGCGUGGGGAGCAAACAGGAUUAGAUACCCUGGUAGUCCACGCCGUAAACGAUGUCAACUAGCCGUUGGGAGCCUUGAGCUCUUAGUGGCGCAGCUAACGCAUUAAGUUGACCGCCUGGGGGAGUACGGCCGCAAGGUUAAAACUCAAAUGAAUUGACGGGGGCCCGCACAAGCGGGUGGGAGCAUGGUGGUUUAAUUUCGAAGCAACGCGAAGAACCUUACCAGGCCUUGACAAUCCAAUGA
rnacentral:rRNA from 1 species